AGCAUUUGCUGUACCGCGUUGACGGAGCGAAGCGACGUCAAACCGAUAAAACAGCAGUGUAAAGUGAGCCGCAGGGCGCUUUGCGCGACAGCGCAAAGGCAGGCGGUUUCGCGUAGCGAAAGCGAAUGCUUUGGGGUGGGGUGACUGCGUACCUUUUGUAUAAUGGGUCAGCGACUUAUAUUCUGUAGCAAGGUUAACCGAAUAGGGGAGCCGGAGGGAAACCGAGUCUUAAUUGGGCGUUAAGUUGCAGGGUAUAGACCCGAAACCCGGUGAUCUAGCCAUGGGCAGGUUGAAGGGUGGGUAACACUAACUGGAGGACCGAACCGACUAAUGUUGAAAAAUUAGCGGAUGACCUGUGGCUGGGGGUGAAAGGCCAAUCAAACCGGGAGAUAGCUGGUUCUCCCCGAAAGCUAUUUAGGUAGCGCCUCGUGAAUUCAUCUCCGGGGGUAGAGCACUGUUUCGGCUAGGGGGCCAUCCCGGCUUACCAACCCGAUGCAAACUGCGAAUACCGGAGAAUGUUAUCACGGGAGACACACGGCGGGUGCUAACGUCCGUCGUGAAGAGGGAAACAACCCAGACCGCCAGCUAAGGUCCCAAAGUCAUGGUUAAGUGGGAAACGAUGUGGGAAGGCCCAGACAGCCAGGAUGUUGGCUUAGAAGCAGCCAUCAUUUAAAGAAAGCGUAAUAGCUCACUGGUCGAGUCGGCCUGCGCGGAAGAUGUAACGGGGCUAAACCAUGCACCGAAGCUGCGGCAGCGACACUGUGUGUUGUUGGGUAGGGGAGCGUUCUGUAAGCCUGUGAAGGUGUGUCGUGAGGCAUGCUGGAGGUAUCAGAAGUGCGAAUGCUGACAUAAGUAACGAUAAAGCGGGUGAAAAGCCCGCUCGCCGGAAGACCAAGGGUUCCUGUCCAACGUUAAUCGGGGCAGGGUGAGUCGACCCCUAAGGCGAGGCCGAAAGGCGUAGUCGAUGGGAAACGGGUUAAUAUUCCCGUACUUGGUGUUACUGCGAAGGGGGGACGGAGAAGGCUAUGUUGGCCGGGCGACGGUUGUCCCGGUUUAAGCGUGUAGGUGUGUGUUCCAGGUAAAUCCGGUUCACUUUAACACUGAGGCGUGACGACGAGGCACUACGGUGCUGAAGCAACAAAUGCCCUGCUUCCAGGAAAAGCCUCUAAGCAUCAGGUAACAUCAAAUCGUACCCCAAACCGACACAGGUGGUCAGGUAGAGAAUACCAAGGCGCUUGAGAGAACUCGGGUGAAGGAACUAGGCAAAAUGGUGCCGUAACUUCGGGAGAAGGCACGCUGACACGUAGGUGAAGUGAUUUACUCAUGGAGCUGAAGUCAGUCGAAGAUACCAGCUGGCUGCAACUGUUUAUUAAAAACACAGCACUGUGCAAACACGAAAGUGGACGUAUACGGUGUGACGCCUGCCCGGUGCCGGAAGGUUAAUUGAUGGGGUCAGCGCAAGCGAAGCUCCUGAUCGAAGCCCCGGUAAACGGCGGCCGUAACUAUAACGGUCCUAAGGUAGCGAAAUUCCUUGUCGGGUAAGUUCCGACCUGCACGAAUGGCGUAAUGAUGGCCAGGCUGUCUCCACCCGAGACUCAGUGAAAUUGAACUCGCUGUGAAGAUGCAGUGUACCCGCGGCAAGACGGAAAGACCCCGUGAACCUUUACUAUAGCUUGACACUGAACAUUGAGCCUUGAUGUGUAGGAUAGGUGGGAGGCUUUGAAGUGUGGACGCCAGUCUGCAUGGAGCCGACCUUGAAAUACCACCCUUUAAUGUUUGAUGUUCUAACGUGGACCCGUUACCCGGGUUGCGGACAGUGUCUGGUGGGUAGUUUGACUGGGGCGGUCUCCUCCUAAAGAGUAACGGAGGAGCACGAAGGUUGGCUAAUCCUGGUCGGACAUCAGGAGGUUAGUGCAAUGGCAUAAGCCAGCUUGACUGCGAGCGUGACGGCGCGAGCAGGUGCGAAAGCAGGUCAUAGUGAUCCGGUGGUUCUGAAUGGAAGGGCCAUCGCUCAACGGAUAAAAGGUACUCCGGGGAUAACAGGCUGAUACCGCCCAAGAGUUCAUAUCGACGGCGGUGUUUGGCACCUCGAUGUCGGCUCAUCACAUCCUGGGGCUGAAGUAGGUCCCAAGGGUAUGGCUGUUCGCCAUUUAAAGUGGUACGCGAGCUGGGUUUAGAACGUCGUGAGACAGUUCGGUCCCUAUCUGCCGUGGGCGCUGGAGAACUGAGGGGGGCUGCUCCUAGUACGAGAGGACCGGAGUGGACGCAUCACUGGUGUUCGGGUUGUCAUGCCAAUGGCACUGCCCGGUAGCUAAAUGCGGAAGAGAUAAGUGCUGAAAGCAUCUAAGCACGAAACUUGCCCCGA
rnacentral:rRNA from 1 species